rnacentral:rRNA from 1 species
AACGAACGCUGGCGGCGUGCCUAACACAUGCAAGUCGAGCGCGAAUGGAGCAAUCCUAGUAGAGCGGCGCACGGGUGCGUAACACGUGGAUAAUCUGCCUGGAAGACCGGAAUAACCUGCCGAAAGGCUGGCUAAUACCGGAUAAGCCUACGGGGACUUCGGUCCCUGGAGGAAAAGGUGGCCUCUGUACACAAGCUAUCACUUCCAGAUGAGUCCGCGGCCCANCAGCUAGUUGGCGAGGUAACGGCCCACCAAGGCAACGACGGGUAGCUGGUCUGAGAGGACGAUCAGCCACACUGGAACUGAGACACGGUCCAGACUCCUACGGGAGGCAGCAGUGGGGAAUUUUGCACAAUGGGCGAAAGCCUGAUGCAGCAACGCCGCGUGUGUGAAGAAGGCCU